UACAGAGGGUGCAAGCGUUGUUCGGAAUCAUUGGGCGUAAAGAGCGUGUAGGCGGUCCGGUAAGUCCGCUGUGAAAGUCGGGGGCUCAACCCCGGGGAGGCGGGCGGAUACUGUCGGGCUAGAGUCCGGAAGAGGCAAGUGGAAUUCCUGGUGUAGCGGUGAAAUGCGUAGAUAUCGAGAGGAACACCUGCGGCGAAGGCGGGUUGCUGGGCCGACACUGACGCUGAGGCGCGAAAGCCAGGGGAGCGAACGGG
rnacentral:rRNA from 1 species